rnacentral:rRNA from 1 species
GAACGAACGCUGGCGGCAGGCUUAACACAUGCAAGUCGAACGGUUGUAGCAAUACAGCAGUGGCGCACGGGUGAGUAACGCGUGGAUAUCUGCCUUUUGGUUCGGAAUAACUCCGGGAAACUGGAGCUAAUACCGGAUGGUUCCUGCGGGAUAAAGAUUUAUCGCCAAAAGAUGAGUCCGCGUACGAUUAGCUAGUUGGUGAGGUAAAGGCCCACCAAGCCAAUGAUCGGUAGCCGGCCUGAGAGGGUGAACGGCCACAUUGGAACUGAGAGACGGUCCAAACUCCUACGGGAGGCAGCAGUGGGGAAUAUUGGGCAAUGGGGGAAACCCUGACCCAGCAACGCCGCGUGAGGGAAGAAGGUUUUCGGAUUGUAAACCUCUGUUCUUGGGGAAGAGCAGAAGACGGUACCCAAGGAGGAAGCCCCGGCUAACUACGUGCCAGCAGCCGCGGUAAUACGUAGGGGGCGAGCGUUGUCCGGAAUGAUUGGGCGUAAAGGGCGCGUAGGCGGCUGUGUAAGUCAGUAGUGGAAGUCCAGCUUUUAAGGUUGGAAGUGCUAUUGAAACUGUGCAGCUUGAGUGCAGGAGAGGUUAUCGGAAUUCCCGGUGUAGCGGUGAAAUGCGUAGAGAUCGGGAGGAACACCAGUGGCGAAGGCGGGUAACUGGACUGCAACUGACGCUGAGGCGCGAAAGUGUGGGGAGCAAACAGGAUUAGAUACCCUGGUAGUCCACACUGUAAACGAUGAAUGCUAGGUGUAGGGGGUAUCGACCCCUUCUGUGCCGGAGUAAACACAAUAAGCAUUCCGCCUGGGGAGUACGGUCGCAAGAUUAAAACUCAAAGGAAUUGACGGGGGCCCGCACAAGCAGCGGAGCAUGUGGUUUAGUUCGAAGCAACGCGAAGAACCUUACCAGGUCUUGACAUCCAGGUAAAGCUGCAGAGAUGCAGUGUGUGCUUGCACAAACUGAGACAGGUGGUGCAUGGUUGUCGUCAGCUCGUGUCGUGAGAUGUUGGGUUAAGUCCCGCAACGAGCGCAACCCUUGCCGGCAGUUACUAACAGGUGAAGCUGAGGACUCUGCUGGGACCGCCGGGGACAACUCGGAGGAAGGUGGGGNNNACGUCAAAUCAUCAUGCCCCUUAUGACCUGGGCUACACACGUGCUACAAUGGCCGAGACAGAGAGCAGCGAGGGCGCAAGCCGGAGCGAAUCUCAAAAAAGCGGUCACAGUUCGGAUUGUGGGCUGCAACCCGCCCACAUGAAGCAGGAGUUGCUAGUAAUCGCGAAUCAGCAUGUCGCGGUGAAUACGUUCCCGGGUCU